CAGAAUGAUCCACUGUCACAGAAUGCAGAGCAAAGGCACUGGCAAAAGGAAUCAAAGGCACAGGUUUAUGUCUGCAUGCAACCACUCAGAGCAAGGGGUCAGGUAGGACAGUCGCUUUUUUGGAGGAACACCGAGGCCUUUCCAGUUUUCAACAGGGUCUUCCUCUACUAAUUGUUGCUUAACCUCUGUGUCCUGCUCACUAUGGGCAGUUUUUGUCUUCUGAUUCUUUGUCUCAAUGUCCUCUGUCUUCACCGGUGCAGAGGAAAGCCUCAUGUUUCCCUCAAGAAACUCAAGGUGGCGUAUGACAAAGCGGUCAAUUCGGAUGGGGAGGCUUUCAUGUUUGAAAAGACCAUGUUUUAUGUUUUUAAAUUCAGCCUCAACAUUUGCAGAGGUUGCUGUGUUGUGUAUGCUUUUGAAGUGCGGAACCAUCACAGCUGUCCAAAGGGAUUUCUGUAACCCAUGUUUUCAGAUCUGUGUGUAGUGUCUCCUCAACUCCGGUCACCUCUGUUAAAUGGUCGUCUUCAGUGACACAUGGCAAGACCCCUCUGCAAAUCGUCUUUUCAAUUGUGCUUUGCAUGUUUCCGAGACAACAGACAUUCCCACCGACUAAUGAGCUUGAUGCAGUGUGCAACAUCUACUCUGAUGAAGCAAGGUGGUAGCUUUGAGUCUUUGGGCUUCCUUGCCAGCACUCCAAAGCACUGAUUGAUGUAUGUUUUCAGGUCUGGGUAAGGAGUGAAGGCCUUAACCAGUGCUCCAAGCAAAGCCAAGGAGAAAUCACAGACCGCCUCUUUGGGCACAGCAGCACCUGCUCGUUGCCAUUCCAUGAGCCAGUUGGCAAUAGAAUUGAUGGUGUGGCUCUCUGAUAGCAUUUGCACUACUGGAAUAUGAUCUCCCUGUGAACACAAAACUCCUUGAUACAGGAAGACAUGUCCAGA